rnacentral:rRNA from 1 species
AUUGAACGCUGGCGGCAGGCCUAACACAUGCAAGUCGAACGGUAACAGGAAACCGCUUGCUGUUUCGCUGACGAGUGGCGGACGGGUGAGCAAUGUCUGGGAAACUGCCUGAUGGAGGGGGAAAUCUACUGGAAACGGUAGAUAAUACCGCAUAACGUCGCAAGACCAAGGAGGGGGACCUAAGGGCCUCUUGCCAUCGGAUGUGCCCCGAUGGGAUUAGCUAGUAGGUGGGGUAACGGCUCACCUAGGCGACGAUCCCUAGCUGGUCUGAGAGGAUGACCGGCCACACUGGAACUGAGACACGGUCCAGACUCCUACGGGAGGCAGCAGUAGGGAAUCUUGCGCAAUGGGCGCAAGCCUGACGCAGCCACGCCGCGUGUAUGAUGAAGGCCUUCGGGUCGUAAAGUACUUUUAUCGGGGAGGAAGGGAGUUAAGUUAAUACCUUUGCUCAUUGACGUUACCCGCAGAAGAAGCACCGGCUAACUCCGUG